AAUCCAUAGGUUAAUGAGGCGAACCGGGGGAACUGAAACAUCUAAGUACCCCGAGGAAAAGAAAUCAACCGAGAUUCCCCCAGUAGCGGCGAGCGAACGGGGAGGAGCCCAGAGCCUGAAUCAGCAUGUGUGUUAGUGGAAGCGUCUGGAAAGGCGCGCGAUACAGGGUGACAGCCCCGUACACAAAAGCGCAUGUGCUGUGAGCUCGAUGAGUAGGGCGGGACACGUGGUAUCCUGUCUGAAUAUGGGGGGACCAUCCUCCAAGGCUAAAUACUCCUGACUGACCGAUAGUGAACCAGUACCGUGAGGGAAAGGCGAAAAGAACCCCGGCGAGGGGAGUGAAAAAGAACCUGAAACCGUGUACGUACAAGCAGUGGGAGCCCCACCACCAAAGCAUUCUCUGGUGUUGAAGGCCCUGCAAAGCAGCAUCGCGGUGGCGGA
rnacentral:rRNA from 1 species